GCGUCCGUAGCUCAGCUGGAUAGAGCAACUGACUUCGGAUCAGUAGGUCGGGGGUUCGAAUCCCUCCGGGCGUA
rnacentral:tRNA from 3 species